rnacentral:rRNA from 1 species
ACGAACGCUGGCGGCGUGCUUAACACAUGCAAGUCGAACGGAAAGGCCCCUUUGGGGGUCCUCGAGUGGCGAACGGGUGAGUAACACGUGAGUAACCUGCCCUUGACUUCGGGAUAACUUCAGGAAACUGGGGCUAAUACCGGAUAGGAAUCCUUGCUGCAUGGUGGGGGUUGGAAAGCUUCGGCGGUUUUGGAUGGACUCGCGGCUUAUCAGCUUGUUGGUGGGGUAGUGGCUUACCAAGGCUUUGACGGGUAGCCGGCCUGAGAGGGCGACCGGCCACAUUGGGACUGAGAAACGGCCCAGACUCCGACGGGAGGCAGCAGUGGGGAAGAUUGCACAAUGGGCGGAAGCCUGAUGCAGCAACGCCGCGUGCGGGAUGACGGCCUUCGGGUUGUAAACCGCGUUCAGCAGGGGCGAAGCUUGUGGUGACGGUACCUGCAGAAGAAGCACCGGCUAACUACGUG